GUCCUUGGAGCACAAUGGAUAGCUCGUUAGAUUUUGAAUCUAAAGGUCGUGGUUUUCUAUCCUACCUGAGAUG